rnacentral:lncRNA from 1 species
GCCUCAUGUUGGAAAUUUCAAAAAAAAAAAUGAAACAAGAUUGUCUUAAUUUAUAUCAACCUGAAUUGUUUUCAAGGAAAGUGUCUUGCAUGAAGCAAGUUCUCUUCACUCUCUGAUGUCGCCCCUGCAUGUUUUUCGUGAUCCAUGAGUCAUCCAUGUUUCUAUUUUACUUUUAGUUUUCAGAGUUGAUGGUCUAUUGUUUGUACUUCUGUGUCCCGGUUUUGUCUUUUGUUCAUUUAUUGUCCUACUUUAUAACUAUAGUCUGCAGAGUGUUGAUUUUCAUUUGUAAAGUGUGGUUUUGCAAUGUUGCAUGUCCACCGAUGUCCAGAAAUUGUGCGAGAAAAUAUUUUAAGAAUAUACAAUGCUACUGGACAUAGAAAAAAAAUGUCGUUUCUGCAUGGAGAAUUGAACUUGAUAUCAAAGAAUACAAAACUGGCUCUUUUUUUUGUGUAGAUAAAUCUAGAUAGCUGACAUGGUUUCAAUCAAAGUAAAACCACCAAUUUCCCGGUAUCAAAUCAUCUUUAAAAAAACGUCAAUGUAUUGCCAUAUGACCUUUUACAUUGAAGGGUUAAACUUGCAUGUAGUCGUUUUCAGACUCUUAAACAGAAAAAAAAUGAAGUAAACGUGCACAUGACCUUAUCUCACACAAAGUCAAUGCAUAGCAAAAAUACAAAUGCUCAUUGGCCAAAGUUUUUUUUCCUGUUACAGUCUUCAUCUUGAUAGUUGGUGGAGGGUCUUCAACAAUAAAAGAAUCAUUAAUACCGAAAAACAAGGUCAAGAUGGUCCUUAGUGUCGACUUAAGCAGUACUAGUACUUAAAGUAUAAUACUGCACUGUCACUAUAUUUAAAUCUAGUCAUAAUUAAUCACCAAAGUCUCAAUUAUGCACUGAAUACAAGUCAAGAACAGACAGACAUAAUGAUUAUGAGAAUUUCGGUUUUUGCUUUAUCCUACAUAUCGGUCUACUUUUAAUGUUGUCCCUGUAAAACCUAAACGUCUUAAAUUACAAUGAAUCUGUUUUUUCUUUGAGACAAGAAUAAUGUCGAAAGAAAUAGCUAAAAAUUAAUUGCGUUUCAAUGUAAGAAAUAGUCUGUGAAACGCUCAGAAUGCACGAUUUUGGGUUAUUUUUCUCAGGGCUUCUGUGGGCCUUCGCUACGCUCGGCGAAUAUGUUUUGCCUCAAUAUUAAAAGAGGCUAGUUACGGCCCUGA